CGGAAGGAUGAAAGAUGUGUUUUGAAAAUGCCACGUGACUACCGUCCUCCUCCCUCGCGGAUCAGUCCGCAUGUUCACGGUGCAUUUUUUAUGGAAUAUGUUGAGCAAACCUGGAGAAGCGUCAGCUCAAGAUAUUAUUGUUGUCAUUGCUGUGGAUCUUUACCUGAUACACUGACUUGGCUCGGGACCAGCACUCCUGUUGUUGGACAGAAAGACAUCAACUCAGUGACUUGAGAUAUGACUGCACUGUGCUGUUGCUGUGACUCCAGUUAAUUCUACAAGACAUGUUGU